GACAGGCUCAGCAUUCCUGUCAGCAGAAGACUCUGUUGGCUGAUGAAGCGGACCAUGGGGACACGUUGGAGGUAUACUAACUCCAUGGGUGCAGUCUUGGGGACGGCUGAUGUCAACAGUUCCUUUUGAGUAUUUUACUGUCCCAGAUUAGAGUCUGUCCCACAUUACACCAAGCCCUUUGUUCUCUAACCAACUGCCUUUCUAUGUGUCACACACUGGGCACAGAUAACCAGACCGAAACUAGACGAUCAGAAGGCUAGUUCUCCAAACCGGGCAACUUUACAAGGUCAGGGCAGUGGGCACUAAAGCGUCAAAUGCAGGAGGCAACAAAUAGACUGCAGUGAUAAAUGUUCAAGGCUAAUUACUCGAGAUUGAAAAUGGGGGAAUAGAGGUGAAUGAAAGAGAGAAAGAGAAAGAAACCUCCUAUCUGAAAUUGAAAUCCUUCCCCUGAAGAAGCACACAUCUGGAAUUCAUUCUUGCAGCAGGCAGCCACAGACUAGCUCUCUACCAGGACCCUGCCCAGCCACCGUGUGACGGUGACUGAAUACAGGCUGUGCUUUGCGUGGGGCUGAUAGAAUGUUUCUCUGAUAAAUAUUCCUGCCAAAGUUAGUUUUCGAGCCAUGGUUCAUAAAUAUACAGUAUUCCAGCAAAAAAGUACAGAAUGUCCUCCUGGGGCUGACAAGCAAAUAGUUUCAUAAAUAACCCUCUUGACACAUGUAAGAUGUUAGCAUUCUUGAGGUUUGGGGCAAGGGCAGAUGUGGAUUUAAUUGCUCGAUUCAGUCUGGAGCCACACUGGACUUGGACGUUACCUCUUGGGGGCCGAUGGAAAUGUUUUUCUUGGCUCGAGAUAUCGCGUUGCUUGUCAACACUGAGGACAAAGGCUUCUCCUCAGGACAUUCUGGUCCAGCGUGGAGUGCUGCACAGGCAGGAAACAAAACCUGAGAUGCCCUCAGGGGCAUUGGAUGGGCCUGCUCCUGUUGAAUGGUGACCAGGAGCAGAUACUGAUGCCACAGGAAGAGCAGAGGGAGCUGGAGGAGUGAAGGCUGAGAGGUGAGUUAUUAACAAUUUCCGAGUACAUGAAGCACUACAGAGCAAAAGUUGAGACACAGCUGUUCUCAACAGCCACCAGAGUCAGAAAAAUAAGCAGGAGGAGGGAAUUAAAAAAGAUCUAGAACAGUAUUAAGUACAGGAGAGUGUGGCAAAUAGUAUCCAUUCACGCAGUCAUUCAGCAAACCUUUACUGA